UGGAGGUUAUGAACUGUCUUGACCUGACCUUGUAGAAUGGAGGUAAGAAUGGGAUGAAAGUGUCACAGUCACUCACAGGUGACUCU
rnacentral:snoRNA from 1 species